CUCCCUGGCGCGCGUAGCCGCCGCCCUAUCGCCCUAGCAUGCGUCGCCGCUGCCCCCUCUCAACCGCCCGCGUCGCCUCCCUCUCCAACAGAGCUACCGCAUCGAGGUCGACUUGAAAAUUCGUUUUUUCCUCCACCGCCUGCCAAAUCUGCAGCGGCGGUGCUCGAUCUGACGAGCCAAGGUGAGGGCGGAGCUCCAAUCGUGGUGUUGGCGGCGGUGCGCUCGAUCUGACGAGCCAAGGUGAGGCACGGAGGAUGAGGUGGUGGAGAUCGCCGUGAAGCGGCUGUCGGCGAGGUCGCGGCAGGGCGCGGCGGAGUUCCCGAACGAGGUGGAGCUCAUCGCCAAGCUGCAGCACAGAAACCUGGUGCGGCUGCUGGGGUGCUGCGUCGAGAAGGACGAGAAGAUGCUCGUCUACGAGUACCUCCCCAACCAGAGCCUCGACGCGUUCCUCUUCGGAAUUAGGUGUGAAGAUCUGGUUUGAUUUGGUGACACAUGGGGCGAGCGUGCACAUAACUUGGGGCGCAUGGCUGAAGUGCUGAACCAAAUUACAGCUCGAUCUUGGGUUGUGCAGUCUCCGUAGUUUACUGAUUUUUAGUCAGUUAGGUCUAAUGAGGCUGCCAUCAGGUACUACAAGGACUUGCUUUGAUGAUACUCCAUCUUAGCCCAGAAGGCAUCGACAAGGUUUCAGUAAGCCCAGAAAGAUAACCUGUGAAGGUUCCUGGUCUCCAGGAUGUGUUAUGUGUGUUGCAUGAACCAGAUAUCUGAUGGCCAAUGCUUCCUCGAAAGGACAUUCCUGAGUCAUGCUUCCAUCAGAGCCACUGGUGUCAUUAUGAGCUGGAUGAAAGAUGCUGGACUUACGACGGUUGGGCCUUAUCUGUCGAGUUGGGCAUGUUUGUGACUGUAGUCAUUUUCCCACACUUUUGCCUUAACUAGCCGAUUUGUGUUUAUUAUUUAUUGACGAUUUUGUUUUGUUCAUUAUGAAGUUGGAUUGAUCAAAUGGGUAACAUUCAUGGUCGAUAUGAACCGCCCAACUCGACAGAUAAGGCCUUAUUGAUUGGAUCUCACAUGUACACUGUCAUUGAUGCUGGCAUGGAGCUUUGGGUAUUAUCUGUGCGAUCUCUGCUUUGAAGGUUUUGAAAGUUAUGGGAAACUUCAGAGGCUAACUAGACCAGUGGAGGUUAGAGAAUUUUCUAGUGUGGACAUCGUCUUCUUCGGGUGGAGUGAAAUUCAAGUGUGGGAGCACCAUAUUGAUCUGAUUGCUGCUGCUUCUGGUCUUUGUUCAGAACCUGUGCAUUGAGGUGCUUGGUGAGGAAGAACCUGGGCGCCAGUCGUCGACAGAGGCAAGGAGCACCUGGGCAAGGACUUGCUUGGACCGUACGAGGUCGUCUUCCAGGAGCUCCUGGGCGAGGAGAUGCAUGGGCCGGAUGAAAUCGUUCUCCAAAGCGCCUAGACGAGGAGAUCAUCGUCCAACAGCACCUGGGGGAGGAGAUCGGCCUCCACGAGCACCUGGGCAAGGAGCUGCCUGUGUGUCGGAGG